UGGGGAUUGCGAGCUCCCCACGAGGCGCCAGCCGAAGAUCGC
rnacentral:ncRNA from 1 species